CGGGAGGCAGCAGUGAGGAAUAUUGGACAAUGGUCGAAAGACUGAUCCAGCCAUGCCGCGUGCAGGAUGACUGCCCUAUGGGUUGUAAACUGCUUUUAUACGGGAAGAAAAACACCUACGUGUAGGUGACUGACGGUACCGUAAGAAUAAGGACCGGCUAACUCCGUGCCAGCAGCCGCGGUAAUACGGAGGGUCCAAGCGUUAUCCGGAAUCAUUGGGUUUAAAGGGUCCGUAGGCGGGCUAUUAAGUCAGAGGUGAAAGUUUGCAGCUCAACUGUAAAAUUGCCUUUGAUACUGAUAGUCUUGAAUUGUAGUGAAGUGGUUAGAAUAUGUGGUGUAGCGGUGGAAUGCAUAGAUAUCACAUAGAAUACCGAUUGCGAAGGCAGAUCACUAACUAUAUAUUGACGCUGAGGGACGAAAGCGUGGGGAGCGAACGGGAUUAGAUACCCCGGUAGUCCACGCCGUAAACGAUGGAUACUAGCUGUUGGAUUUUUUCAGUGGCUAAGCGAAAGUGAUAAGUAUCCCACCUGGGGAGUACGUUCGCAAGAAUGAAACUCAAAGGAAUUG
rnacentral:rRNA from 1 species